rnacentral:rRNA from 1 species
UACGUAGGGACCGAGCGUUGUCCGGAAUCAUUGGGCGUAAAGAGCGUGUAGGCGGCCACUUAAGUCCUGCGUGAAAUCUUGCGGCUCAACCGCAAGCGGUCGUGGGAAACUGGGUGGCUAGAGUCCGGGAGAGGAGAGUGGAAUUCCUGGUGUAGCGGUGAAAUGCGCAGAUAUCAGGAAGAACACCCGUGGCGAAAGCGGCUCUCUGGAACGGUACUGACGCUGAGACGCGAAAGCGUGGGGAGCGAACAGG